rnacentral:rRNA from 1 species
GACUCCGUGAAGCUGGAUUCGCUAGUAAUCGCGCAUCAGCCAUGGCGCGGUGAAUACGUUCCCGGGCCUUGUACACACCGCCCGUCAAGCCAUGGGAGCCGGGGGUGCUUGAAGUACGCUUACCGUAAGGGGCGUCCUAAGGCAAAACCGAUAAUUGGGGCUAAGUCGUAACAAGGUAUC